UUGUUUCAUUUGUUCCAAUUACACGGCCAAUCGGAGGCCGCCCUCGUUUCAAUUUCUCGAGCUUACAUGCUUUUUGCGCCCAAUCGGGAGGCCCGCUUGUUUCAAUUUCGUCACGUGGUAUCGACUCUCCCUUCCGCUGUUUCAAAUGGCACUUCAGGAAGUGCCGUGGAUCGCCCGAGUUCUGCGACAGGAGCUCUUUUUGGUGCUCUUGUUGCAAUUUUGCAGAGAUGAAGAGGAGGGCCGGCCGCAGCCAAAGCGGUCCUUCCUGCCUCCGAGGCCUGCCUCGCAAAGUUCUGAGCUGCUGAUUCCUGAGUUGCCGUGCGGCCUUCUCGAGGGAACAGCGGGAGCGGAUUGGUCGGGCGCUGUAUGUAUUGUAUGAGAAAUGUACUGGAUCAAUAAACACGCACAGAUGAAGUGCUAAAAGCCAA